GUAGCGUGCAGGAUGACUGCCUUAUGGGUUGUAAACUGCUUUUUUACGGGAAUAAUUAUGAUCACGUGUGAUUAUUUGCAUGUACCGUAAGAAUAAGGAUCGGCUAACUCCGUGCCAGCAGCCGCGGUAAUACGGAGGAUCCUAGUGUUAUCCGGAUUUAUUGGGUUUAAAGGGAGCGUAGGCGGGAGGUCAAGUCAGCCGUGAAAUGUAUCUGCUUAACGGGUACACUGCAGUUGAAACUGGUUUUCUUGAGUGCGUAAGAGGCAGGCGGAAUUCGUUGUGUAGCGGUGAAAUGCUUAGAUAUGACGAGGAACUCCUAUUGCGAAGGCAGCUUGCUGGGUCGUUACUGACGCUGAUGCUCGAAGGUGCGGGGAUCAAACAGGAUUAGAUACCCUGGUAGUCCGCACAGUAAACUAAGGAUACUCUCUUGCCGGCGAAUACAUUGUCGGUGGCCAAGCGAAAGCGUUAAGUAUCCCACCUGGGGAGUACGUUCGCAAGAAUGAAACUCAAAGGAAUUGACGGGGGCCCGCACAAGCGGAGGAACAUGUGGUUUAAUUCGAUGAUACGCGAGGAACCUUACCCGGGUUUGAAUUGCUGAUGGCGGUAUUUGGAGACAGAUACUUCCCUUCGGGGCGUCAGUGAAGGUGCUGCAUGGUUGUCGUCAGCUCGUGCCGUGAGGUGUCGGCUUAAGUGCCAUAACGAGCGCAACCCUUGCCGUUAGUUGCCAUCGGGUCAUGCCGGGCACUCUAUUGGGACUGCCAUCGUAAGAUGUGAGGAAGGUGGGGAUGACGUCAAAUCAGCACGGCCCUUAUGUCCGGGGCGACACACGUGUUACAAUGGGGGGUACAGUGGGAAGCUACCUGGCGACAGGUUGCGGAUCCCCAAAUCCUUUCUCAGUUCGGAUCGGAGUCUGUAACUCGACUCCGUGAAGUUGGAUUCGCUAGUAAUCGCGCAUCAGCCAUGGCGCGGUGAAUACGUUCCCGGGCCUUGCACACACCGCCCGUCAAG
rnacentral:rRNA from 1 species